rnacentral:rRNA from 1 species
AGAAUCAACGCUGGCGGCGUGCCUAACACAUGCAAGUCGCACGAGAAAGGGUAGCAAUACCUGAGUAAAGUGGCGCACGGGUGAGUAACACGUGACUAAUCUACCCUCGAGUGGGGAAUAACUGAGAGAAAUCUUAGCUAAUACCGCAUAACACUUACGAGUCAAAGCAGCAAUGCGCGUUGGGGAGGAGGUCGCGGCCGAUUAGCUAGUUGGCGGGGUAAUGGCCCACCAAGGCGAUGAUCGGUA